UCCAGGUGUAUGACAACGAUGGAUUCUACCGUAAGAAUUAUUCCUACAAGUUCUAAAGCUGAUGGAGAGAACAAUAGAAACGUAACGACUAUGACAACCAAUGUAUCGAUUUUGAAUUUAUAGUGUUCGCACAGCUGUAAAGGGGCUACUGUAGAAAUAUUUUGGGGUACAUUUUAUACAUACAGAUAGCGGGUCAUCUUAUGCGACUAUUAUUGGUGUAUGGUUAAAAUGUAUUUGUGACAUAUCUUGGGAUUUAUCUCAUUAAAUAUUAAUUAAAUGUGGGCCAUUUUUAUACAUGAUGGAUACCCAUCUAUAUUUUUGUAUUGUAUGUCUUGUAUAGUAAUUGGGCAGAUUUGAAUACGGUAAUGUCUUACUUUGAUUACAUAAAUACUAUUACAGAACUUUGAUUGCAUUAUUACUAUAACUUUUCUUUGAUUUUAUUAUAGUCUCUUUACAUUAACUUGUACUGAUGAUAAAGGAUGUGGCUAUGAAUAGUUUUAGUCCAGUAUCAAUACAAAUCUGAAAGGUGAUCAGCCGGGUUCGGGAGCCUUUUCGAGAUAUCAAGUGUCAAAGGUCAAAAUUGACCAAUUAUUACAAAUUUUUGUAUCAACUCUGAAGUUUUCUCACUUAAUAAAUUCAAUAUGAUUUGAUUAGCCAAUAUUGAGGUCAAAUGUCAAACUUGACCAAUUCUAACAAUUUACUAAAAUAAACAAUAUGGAAAUUUAAAACUCAGUGUUUUAUCACAUUAUUAUGCUUUUAGAUAUUUAUUUUAGGGAUCUAUUCACCAGUCUACUGUCUCAAAGUUUUAUCUGUAUCUCAAAGUUUUAUAUUUUUAUAUAUGAUAUAAUUUGUGUACUUUGUUAUUGUAUUUUAUAGUUGAGGGUGCCAAUGAUCAGUUGUGCUGGACGAGCCACCCUCUGGAGAUAUAGUUUAAUUUUGUUUUAAAUAAUAAUAAUAAAAAUAAAACCAGCCUUUUUAAGAAACUGACCUCAAAAAUGCAAAAAUUAUUAUAUUUGUUAUAAAGUAUCUUUAAAGUUGACUAUAUUUAUCAAAAUAUUAAAGCUUUCGUAUGCUCCUGUAUUUUUCAUGUUCCCAUGUUUCAUUGCAAAAAUGUUGACCAUGAUUUUUUCCACCUUAUAAAAAAAUAUUCUAAAGAAAUAUAAACAGGUUGUACGUAACGAGAGAAGACUUUUGGAGAAUCGAUCAAACUGUGUGCAGUACUAUGCUAGGAGAAUUGUCUGUAUAAAGAUGAUGUCCUUGUAGAAUAUCACGUAAAGGUAGUGGCGUAACAAAAAUCAUAAAUGCUCCUAAGGUUUUUUCGGGCCUUAUACUACUCGUUUCUGAAGAAACAAAUAAGUAAAAAAGUAUGAGUUCCCAUUAAAGUUUCUGAGAGUUUUUUUUUUUUCGCAAAGCUUGGUAACAACACUU